rnacentral:misc_RNA from 1 species
GGUCACCGGAACAGUAAAAUAUACUAGGCUAUGCAAUUAGGGGUGUUACAGAGCAGGUGCUGGUGCAAGAGGAUUCUGAGGACUUGGCCGAGGACUUGACACUGGAUGGACAGAAUAGACUAAGAGAUCAUCAUCCUCCCCUCUAACUCUCAUAACUAGGAGAGGGAGGGAAGAAUGAAGUAGAUUCAAAAAAAGGUAACAUCAGCAGACACAAUAUAACGAUUAAGGGUUGGAGGAAAACAUUUGUACG